rnacentral:rRNA from 1 species
CACGUAGGGCGCAAGCGUUGUCCGGAAUUAUUGGGCGUAAAGAGCUCGUAGGCGGCUUGUCACGUCGGGGUGUGAAAGACCGGGGCUUAACUCCGGUUCUGCAUUCGAUACGGGCUAGCUAGAGUGUGGUAGGGGAGAUCGGAAUUCCUGGUGUAGCGGUGAAAUGCGCAGAUAUCAGGAAGAACACCCGUGGCGAAGGCGGCUCUCUGGGACGGUACUGACGCUGAGACGCGAAAGCGUGGGGAGCGAGCAGG